AGAGAGAGAGAGGAAGGGGAGGUGCACAGACUCCCUGAGAACUGGAGUCAGUAGUCAGGGAAAGUGAGUGCACACCGCAGGGGGAGCAGUUGCUGAGAGAGUCAUGUUACUUCCACACAGCCCGUUUGCUGGUCUCUCAGCCUGAACUGGAGCAGGCUAAUUGGAUGAAGAGCCUGAGACCAGCAGGCACCGCCACAGACAAACUGAAGACAAGCGAAUGAGACCCUGUCAGAAAGAAGGGGAGGCUGAAAACGGGAAAGACUGGAGGGGGGGGGCGGGCGUCUGUGAAAGCUCCACUGGAGACACUUUUAUGUUCUCCUUCCAGACAACAGUCAACAAGUGGAAACGGUGACACUCAGAAGUGCAGUUGCACGUGUUUACGACAGAGGCGCAGCAGUGUGAGGUCUUCAAAGGCCUGUUACUGUAUAUAUAUAUAUAUAUCUUAUCUCCAUCCUUGUGUGAUCUGCAUCUGAGCAUCAGCAUGGACGUGAAAGAGGAGGUGCUGGAUAUUCUUGAGAAGCUGUCGACAAAACUGCGGGGUCUCCCUCAAGCCAGUCCUCUGGAGCUGGGAGCCUUCAUUGUGCUCAUCCUGUUUUUUGCCACGUUUCUCUUCAUGAUCGUGCUGUCCUGUGUCCACUGCUGCUGCUGUGGAAAGCCAAAAUACCAGGCCUCCAGAGUUCAGCCUCUACAGCCCCUCUGAAGGGGAGACUGAGAACAGACUCCAUGAGUGAACACUGCCUCCAUCCUCCAUGUAACCAUCCACAUGAUAUGUGGCCUCUAUUUCACAGUCAUUGGUUUUCUUGCUGGAAAAAUCGAAGGAAGUUAAUCGAGGGAAGGUUGGUGACAUAUUUCCACGAUAUGUUUCCAGUUCUGGGAUGAAGAGCCAACGCCGCAGGUGCCAUGUAGAUCAACACAGUGGCGUCAACGACUCAUCAAGAGUCAUUAAAGACAAAGACAAUGAAACUCUGUGCGACCGCUCUUUCCAACAACAGAAACCUUACAGUGCAGUGGAUGAAAAGAUACAGUAAGAAAGCUGAUGUGUGUGUCACAGUGACUCUGUUAUUCAUCAGGAAUGUGACAAACAAAAUGGAAAUAAAGAGACAUUUUGCGCAUAGUGGACAGAGUGCCAUCUGUUGGUCAAAGAGAAUUUGAUCUUUAUAAAAAUGUUCAAAUGGAGAAUGUAACCUGUUCCUAUCUUGACGUACAAUUAUCAAUGUGUUCUUGUUAUAUUGUUACAUAGAAGUGUUUCGCAUUUUUGUUUUUGAAGCAAUGUUUACUUUACUUUACUUGUGUACAUGUAAUAAACGUAAAAUAUGUUAAAAGAAAAAAAAUGUCUUUCUCUCGGAUCAAAUGUAAACAUAUUGCCACCUGUUAAAGCAUGUACGAUCUCCCGUCCAAAUAUUGCAUGACUUCUUUCAAUAAGUGAAUCCACGUAAAAGUGAACUUUUAUCUAAAUUGCAUUAACACUGCAUUAUUGUAUGCAAACAUACUUACUGAUUGUUGCAGUUGCAUUUUGUGUGCAGGCGUAAACCAUAUGAAUCUGCUUUAUUCUAGCACACAUAGCUUGAAAUAUGUGUAGUAAACUAUCAUAAAGGACGGCAAUGAGAUACUGUAUUGUGUCAGUGUUGUGUAUAUGUAGUGUUAUAUAAAAGUGAUAAAGAA